GAUGAACGCUGGCGGCGUGCCUAAUACAUGCAGGUCGAGCGAACAGACGAGGAGCUUGCUCCUUCGACGUUAGCGGCGGACGGGUGAGUAACACGUAGGUAACCUACCUAUAAGACUGGGAUAACUUCGGGAAACCGGAGCUAAUACCGGAUAAUAUUUCGAACCGCAUGGUUCGAUAGUGAAAGAUGGCUUUGCUAUCACUUAUAGAUGGACCUGCGCCGUAUUAGCUAGUUGGUAAGGUAACGGCUUACCAAGGCAACGAUACGUAGCCGACCUGAGAGGGUGAUCGGCCACACUGGAACUGAGACACGGUCCAGACUCCUACGGGAGGCAGCAGUAGGGAAUCUUCCGCAAUGGGCGAAAGCCUGACGGAGCAACGCCGCGUGAGUGAUGAAGGUCUUCGGAUCGUAAAACUCUGUUAUUAGGGAAGAACAAUCGUGUAAGUAACUGUGCACGUCUUGACGGUACCUAAUCAGAAAGCCACGGCUAACUACGUG
rnacentral:rRNA from 1 species